UCAAGUUCCAACGAACCUUUGUUUAAUAGUACAUGGUAAUACAAUAAUUCUGGAAAGGAAUUCUGCACCUGGGGACUUUCAUGCUGCUAACCAACCUUGAAAUCAAACUGCUAAAUAGGGCUUAGUGCACUGGCAAAUCUUGAAGUCUUUUUUUUUUUUUUUUUAUACCAGUGUUCAGGUUAAUGGUUAAGGGUUGGUAUUUAAAGUAUACUGCAGUUUCUUUUAGUUAAUAAUACAUCAUCCCAUGGGUUCUGAAGAAUCUGUCAAAACAAAUAAUGGCAAACUAGACCAAUGCUUCAUUUGGACUAGAGGGUGCCUUGGACAAAAUGAAUCUGGUUAUCCGUUUCCAAUAGACAGGAGUCAUUAAUUUCCUUAGGAGAGAUCUAUAGAACUGGAAUGCUUGAGUUUCAUAGAUGGUUUUAAAUCUCUUGUUCCAUUUAGAAUUCUUUCUAUUUUACUGGUGUUUCUCACUGUUGCCUGUAGUAACAUCAGGUAUUUCUCAGUUUUUAGAAUGAACUAUUUGUUUCUUUAAACACAGGACCCCACACCUUGGAUUUCACAGUCUAUUGAAAUCAAGGUCAGCUGGAAACUAAUACUCUGCUUCCAUUCAUUUUGUGCCUUGAGACUUCAACCGAAACCACUGAGAGAGGAUAGCCUCAAAUACCAUGCUUGGGUUUCAAUGCCAUGAGAGGUUAGCAAAUGAAGAUGGCCGUCCCUGCUAUCGCUUACAGAAGAUGACCCACAUAGAUGGCUAAGAACUGAAUCAAAUCUAUUCUGACCAAGGGAAAAAUGCAACAAUCCUUAGAAAGACAAGCCAACAAGCUGAGCCUCACUAAUACACAGGGAAAAAUUGAGUACUGGAAUUUAGAGCAAACUACUUUCUUCUAAAGGGUGUGCUUCGGAAAUUGAAGAAAUUAUGCAGUCACCGUUAGAGAAACUCAAGCUCCACGACUCUCAUUAGCCUGUUUUGGAUAAGGGCGCUGCCCUUGAAGAAAUCAUCGAACUCAUUCCAGCGUCUUUGUGCUUUGUGAGAACAUUAGCAUUAUUUUAAGUUCUUACUGUUAUUAGUGUUUCACAAAUGAAUUACGGGGAAAAAAAUCUUUAUUUUUAGCCUUUUGCAAUUACUAAAAUAAGAAAGUGGUUUCCAUUAAAAGUUAUGUGAGAUUUCACAGUGGGUUUCUAUUAGAAUUACACUGAAAUUUCUUGAAGUUGAAGCCAACGGUGUAAAGUUUUAGCCACAUCUGUCUCCAAGAUGAGUUAUUAGGCUGACUUUGAAAUAUGAUAACUCUGUUUUGCUGAGUCACUGUAAUCUAUUGUGGCCCAUUGGCACAUUUUGCUUUGCAUCCUUGAUAUGGGGCCUGGCCACCCCGGGCACUCCGUAAACGCUUCUUGGAUGGAACCAUUCAACACUUUUUAUACUGCUGAGGCAGAGUGAUUUUGUGGACUGUUUUUCUUUCUUUAAAAAAAAAUUUUUUUUUAAUGUUUAUUUAUUUUUGAGAGAGACAGAGCGUGAGCAGGGGAGGAGCAGAGAGGGAGACACAGAAUCUGAAGCAGGUUCCAGGCCCCAAGCUGUCUGCACAGAGCCCAAUGCGGGGCUCGAACUCACAAACCGCGAGAUCAUGACCCGAGCCGAAGUCAAACACUUAACCAACUGAGCCACCCAGGUGUGCCUGUGGACUAUUUUUCAAAACACUUUCAUAAAGAUGAUCGUAUCUCCUGCUUCCUCACUUUUUUUCCCCCAUGACAUUCAAAUUCAAAAAAUGAGUCUUUUGUAUGUAUCAAGAAUCUUACACGUUUAUAUCCUUUGACAUAGCAAUCCAUUUCUCGAAUUUAUACGGAGAAUAGAAUCCAAUCCGAAGCAGAGUGCCAUAUACAAAUAUGAUUACAGCUAUCAUUUACAGUAUCAUUUACAGUAAUAAAAGAUUUGUACUAUCCUUAGGGUCCACUAAGAGAGAAGUAGCCAAGAAAGACUGAAUGUUAAAAAAUGUUUCCAAGACCACAUAAAUAUUAUUUACAGAGUCUAUUUUUAUAAGAAAAACGACUGUAGAAUUGUAAACCCAGUAUCUUUACAUCUCUAUUUUUAAGUAUCCUACACAUAAUAAACACACUAGUGGAAAAUAAGAAAAACAUUAAUGAUCUUGUCAUUAAGUACUGAAACUAUGACUGACAUUUUCCGUUCAAAUUUUCAGAAUUUUGCACAUUUUCUUUCAUUAAGCACACAUCACUUUCAUCAUUGAAAAUCACUGCACAUUUUCUUUUUAACUAAUCACUGUAUACCUUAGCCUUAUUACAGAGAUUACAGAAAGUCCCUCAUCCGUUACAUACUUGGAUCUGAAAUAAUAAAAUUAUGUAUGUUUCUAGAUGAUACAUAAAAUACAUGUAAAUACUUGUGUGUUUGGUUGAGACUCCAACAUUAUUUCAAUUUUAGUUAUUCAGGAAUGGAUACAGACUUCUAAGAUGAGCAUCAUUUUAUGUCCAAGUUUUAAAAGAGCAUCAGGAUUUGCAAAAGAUGAGAUUCAAGGUGUGUCUGUCGAACCAGCAGAGAAAGUAAGAGAGUCGCAGCAGGCCGGCCAGAGCAGCAGUGAGGGGGGAACACUGCUCUUUUGAGUACACCUCCAGCUCUGCGGGGACAUGCACGCCUUGCACCGAAAGAUGAAAAAUUAUUUCAAAAAUACCCUUGUUCGGUGAACAUUUCAACUCAUUUUCAACGGUGAACUUCAGUUAAGAUGCUAAGAGAAAUUAGCUGAAUGUAGUAGAUAUUUGCUUUCCUUCCCCCUCCAUUUGACAUUCUUCUUCUUCUUGGUUAGAGCACAUCGUUUCUCUGGCCACUGUGAUUGCUUCACAGUGGGACUCAAAAAUAUUUUCCUAAGUAUUUUUGAGAAAUGAAACUCGUUUGGGGAGGGAAUAACUGGAGGAGGUGGUUUUUCCUCGUGGUUGUCACGACACAAACGCGGAAGUAUACCGUUGAGUCCAUGAAGGAAGGCAACCUUAGGCUGAACCAGACACAAGAACAGCAAAGGCAAAAGAAACCAGGUCUUUGAUAAUGUCAGUGAAACAGUGGAUCUAGCCUCACCUGAAACCCUCCUGACCACUGGAUUUUUAAG